rnacentral:rRNA from 1 species
GACGAACGCUGGCGGCGUGCUUAACACAUGCAAGUCGAGCGGAGCGGCGAACGGGUGAGUAACGCGUGAGUAACUGCCCCCCUCUCUGGGAUCACAGUUGGAUACGGCUGCUAAUACCGGAUUGUGGGGGAUGACUCGCGUCCUAUCAGCUUGUUGGUGGGGUAGUGGCCUACGAAGGCGACGACGGGUAGCCGGCCUGAGAGGGCGACGGGCCACAUUGGGCUGGGAUACGGCCCGAGCUCCUACGGGAGGUAGCAGUGGGGAAUAUUGCACAAUGGGGGAAAGCCGGAUGCAGCAACGCCGAGGGCGUGAUGAUGGCAUUCUGGUUGUAAACCGCUUUCAGCCAUGACGCGGUAGUGGCAGAAGAAGCACCGGCUAACUACGUGCCAGCCGCCGCGGUAAUAC